rnacentral:snRNA from 1 species
GCGUGUUACUAAACAGCUGUAA